rnacentral:lncRNA from 10 species
UCCUUUAUGUCCCUGAAGUGCUAUGUUCUAAAUCCAAUAGUGUCCAAGCUGAGGCCAGGCUUCCCACAGGUGCUCCCAGCGAUGACAGAGCAAAGCAGGGAUUCUAAAGCAGUCCAGGUUCUGAGAUGCCAGGGGCUCCUCUAGUGGGUACUCUCUUUCCCUUGAGGACUCCCAUCAGCCUUGCCCAGACUAUCUUAUAACUGCAUUACAGUCUAAGGCUCAUUCUAUUCCAGUUUCCUUCCUUCCUUCCUUCCUUCCUUCCUUCCUUCCUUCCUUCCUUCCUUCCUUCCUUCCUUCCUUCCCUCCUUCCUUCCCUUUCUCCUCCACAAGAGUCAACUCUGCCCCUCCACGUGAUGACUUUCCUGGACUUUUUCAACACUCUUCCAUUAGCCUCUCACAGGUGUUCUCCCUCAAUAAAUCCCUUGUAUAUUUAAUCCCACCUGCAAUGUCACUGGGCUUUUGAAAACCAAGUGAGAAGACAAGUGUCUGUUGAUAGAAACCCUUCAGUAAAUGUUAACAUGUGAAAGCAUGAUUGCAUCUCGCUGUGUUGCUUGGGCUGAACUCAACCAAACUCCUGGGCUCAAGCGAUCCUCACUCCUCAGUCUCCUGAGUAGCUGGGACUACAGACAUACACCACCACCCUGGAGAGUUAUUCUUUGAAUAUUUUUGAAUAGUGGUCAGAUUCUCAGAUAUGGAACUCUAGGAUACAGAGUGCCAACUGUACCUCAUUUUGUACCUCAUUUUGCUUAUUAAUUUAUUAGUUGAUGGACAUUUGGGCUGUUUUCACUUUCUGGCUACUAUGGAUAAUGCUGCUAUGAACAUUCUUGUGUAUGUUUUUGUGUGGACAUAUGAUUAUAAUUCUGUUGGGUCUGUACCUAGGAGUAAAAUCCUGGAUUAUAUGGAAAAUCUAUGCUUCACCCUUUAAGGAACUAGCAGACUGUUUUCCAAACUGGUUCCACCAUUUUACAUUCUGAAGAGCAAUGUAUGAAGAUUCCAGUUUCUCCACUUUCUUGCCAACAUUUGUUACUGUCUGUCUCGUUAAUGAUAGCUACUAUAGUGUGUAUGUAGUGGUAUCUCAUUGUGGCUUUUAUUUGUAUUUCCCUGAUGACUAACUAUGUUGAACAUUUUUUCAUGUGCUUAUCAAAUAUUUGCAUAUCUCAAAGAAAUAUCUACCCAAAUCCUUUGCUGGUUUUUAAAUGAGGUUACUUAUCUUUAUUAUUGAUCAGUAAGAGCUCUUUAUAUACUGUAGAUAAUAGUCCCUUAUUAGAAAUAUGAUUGUUACAUAUUUUCUCCCCUUUUGUUGGUUGUCUUUUCACUUCCUGUGUCAAAAAUAAAAUCAGAUCAAAUUUAAAAAUUGCAGAGUUGUAUUGUGCAUAUGAAACAACAAUUCCAGAACCAAGACAACUGAAACUGGAAGUGGUAAGAAGCUCUACACUAAGUAGUUACUGUGCAGCUUGCAAAGGAUAAAUGAGAAAGUAUUUUGACCUUUUUCUGGAUUGGCUUUUAUACAAGAACAUUCUUUUUUCUUUUUUUUUUUAACUUGUUUUCUUUUUUUUUUUCUCUCCCUCCUCUCACCCUUCACCUUUAAGUAGGCCCCAGUGUUCCCCUCUUUGUGUCUAACCACAAGUUAGAACAUGUGGUAUUUGGGUUUUCUCUUCCUGCAUAAAUUUGCUAAGAGUAAUGGCCUCCAGCUCCAUCCAUAAUGAACAUUCUUUUUAGGGCAAGUGGAGCUGUUUAAGCUGAUUUGUCUAUCACUGAUUGGUUUCAUUUCACUGAAACCUUCUGACAAGGACAUGUGCUUUAUUUAUAAUUAGAGCUAUCAUUUAGGGGAAAUAUUAAUAAGGGGUUGUUCUAGCCUUAUUUAUUAUGAAUAGAGCUAGAGCUGUUCUUUUAUAUGACUUUUUGUAGUGCUUCCAAAUUCCUUAACUUUAGUAAUUUUGGAACUUGCAAAUAAGAAAUCAGAAUUUCUGAAAUCAUAAGUUGUGUUUUUCAUUACAUUUUAUUUGUAUUUUAAACUAAUAAUGAAUGGACAUAGUAAAGAUUCAAUCACUUGUUUUAUAACAGGGUUAUACUGAAAGUUCCAGAUGCUUUUUUUUUGGUUUAAAAAAGUAUUUAAUACAUGCACGGUUAAUUAUUAUUACCUACCAAGAUAUUAUGACAAGAUUAUGUAUUUCAAUACAAUGUAAAGAACUUGACACCAGAAAACAUUAAAAGAAGG